rfam:Schistocephalus solidus strain NST_G2 genome assembly, scaffold: SSLN_scaffold0000718
UGGCUCAAUGGUUAGAGUGGUUGACUUCUGAUCAACAGGUCACGGGUUCGAGUCUCGG